UGGGUGAUUGAUACACAGACAGAAUUUACUCUGCCUGUCACAAAAUCGCCCUAGAUUAAUAAUGCCUUCUGAUGACCGGGGCGAAUUGAGAGAAAUCGCAACGGACAGAUACGGGGCAGACAGAC